rnacentral:snoRNA from 1 species
AGGCGAUGAUGAUGAAAUUUUUCGUGCACCACUCUGAAUAUUGAGUGCUGAUAAACACCCUUUGCAUCUGAGCCA